rnacentral:rRNA from 1 species
CAGUCGCCACGGUAAUACGUAGGGUGCGAGCGUUAAUCGGAAUUACUGGGCGUAAAGCGUGCGCAGGCGGUUGUGUAAGACAGGUGUGAAAUCCCCGGGCUUAACCUGGGAACUGCGCUUGUGACUGCACAGCUAGAGUAUGGCAGAGGGGGGUGGAGUUCCACGUGUAGCAGUGAAAUGCGUAGAGACGUGGAGGAACACCGAUGGCGAAGGCAGCCCCCUGGGCCAAUACUGACGCUCAUGCACGAAAACGUGGGGAGCAAACAGGAUUAGAUACCCCCGUAGUCCCUGUCUCUUAUAU